GAUGAACGCUGGCGGCGUGCCUAAUACAUGCAAGUCGAGCGAACGGACGAGAAGCUUGCUUCUCUGAUGUUAGCGGCGGACGGGUGAGUAACACGUGGAUAACCUACCUAUAAGACUGGGAUAACUUCGGGAAACCGUAGCUAAUACCGGAUAAUAUUUUGAACCGCAUGGUUCUAAAGUGAAAGACGGUCUUGCUGUCACUUAUAGAUGGAUCCGCGCUGCAUUAGCUAGUUGGUAAGGUAACGGCUUACCAAGGCAACGAUGCAUAGCCGACCUGAGAGGGUGAUCGGCCACACUGGAACUGAGACACGGUCCAGACUCCUACGGGAGGCAGCAGUAGGGAAUCUUCCGCAAUGGGCGAAAGCCUGACGGAGCAACGCCGCGUGAGUGAUGAAGGUCUUCGGAUCGUAAAACUCUGUUAUUAGGGAAGAACAUAUGUGUAGGUAACUGUGCACAUCUUGACGGUACCUAAUCAGAAAGCCACGGCUAACUACGUG
rnacentral:rRNA from 1 species